GAUGAAGAACGCACCGAAAUGCGAUACUUGGUGUGAAUUGCAGAAUCCCGUGAACCAUCGAGUCUUUGAACGCAAGUUGCGCCCGAAGCCAUUAGGCCGAGGGCACGCCUGCCUGGGCGUCACACGUCGUUGCCCCCCCAUCUACUCCUUCGGGAUUGCGGGGGGCGGAUGAUGGCCUCCCGUGCGCCUCGUCGCGCGGUUGGCAUAAAUGCCAAGUCCUCGGCGACGCACGCCACGACAAUCGGUGGUUGCGAAACCUCGGUUGCCCGUCGUGUGCGGUCGUCGCGCAUCGAGGGCUCGAAAAAAUUGCCGGGCUCCGGCUCGGCUUUCAACGCGACCCCAGGUCAGGCGGGGUUACCCGCUGAAUUUAAGCAUAUCAAUAAGCGGAGGA
rnacentral:misc_RNA from 1 species